rnacentral:rRNA from 1 species
GUGAGGAAUUUUCCGCAAUGGGCGAAAGCCUGACGGAGCAAUGCCGCGUGAAGGAUGAAGGCCUAUGGGUUGUAAACUUCUUUUCUUAGAGAAGAAUAUUGACGGUAUCUGAGGAAUAAGGAUCGGCUAACUCCGUGCCAGCAGCCGCGGUAAUACGGAGGAUCCAAGCGUUAUCCUGAAUCAUUGGGUUUAAAGGGUCCGUAGGCGGUUUAAUAAGUCAGUGGUGAAAGCCCAUCGCUAAACGAUGGAACGGCAAUUGAUACUGUGAGACUUGAAUUACAAGGAAGUAACUAGAAUAUGUAGUGUAGCGGUGAAAUGCUUAGAUAUUACAUGGAAUACCAAUUGCGAAGGCAGGUUACUACUUGUGGAUUGACGCUGAUGGACGAAAGCGUGGGGAGCGAACAGGAUUAGAUACCCCGGUAGUCC